AUGCACUGGAUCAGACAGGCUCCUGGAAAAGGACUGGAGUGGAUCGCUGCUGAUACAGGCGGCAGCACCAAAUAUUACUCUCAGUCAGUCCAAGGAGUCUGGAGUGAGAUCAGACUGGACCAGUCUCCAUCUGAGGUGAAAAGACCUGGACAGACAGUGAAGAUGUCUUGUAUCACAUCUGGAUUUCAAAUGACAAGUUUCUAUAUUCACUGGAUACGACAGAGACCAGGACAAGCUCUGGAGUGGAUCGGGGAGAUGAAUGCAGGCAGAAACUCUGCCAGCUAUGCCAGCGCCUUCCAGAAUCGUUUCCCGAUGACUGAAGAUGUGUCCAGCAGCACUCAGUACCUCCAGAUCAAGAGUCUGACAGCAGAAGAUUCUGCUGUUUAUUAUUGUGCUCGACAACCACAGUGA